rnacentral:lncRNA from 1 species
AUAGGAUUUGAGCCUAUUUUUAAAAAUACAUUUAUACUUCUCAGAAGCAUUUUGCUUGGAAAGUAGUUUUACAGAGAGGCUUGAUCAUCUCAACCAGGGAUGAAAAUACCGCAUCAGCCAAGGUAAAGGAGUUGGUUUGAUACAGUAAUGAUGACUGUAAAGAUAGCCAGCGCUAAAAUAGGCCUGAUAGACGUGGGGGUUUUCUUUUACUCUCUAACAGUUUUUACCACUCUUCUUUGGGCAGUUGACUUCUCCAGUUCAUCACUCAGAGCCAGCCCUCCUGGCCCACCUCCACAGGUUGUGGCAUAGCACUGAACCUCG